CCAAGGAGUCUAAUUAGGCAUCAAGUCGAUCGGUCUUGAUAGGCUAGACUGGUGGUAUCCAAUCCACCGAUUGAAGGCAAAGAGAAAUCAAAUCAUGUGAUCCUAGUGGGCAACAACAGCCUCUUGGCGCAACAUGUGCCUGUUCGUAUAGCAAUGCACGCAAGUGCUUGCUGAGCGGAGCAAAAAGAUGCCUGAUUGGUACCCGAAAGAUGGUGAACUAUGCUUGGGCAAAUUGAAGCCAGAGGAAACUCUGGUGGAGGAUUGUAGCGAUUCUGACGUGCAAAUCGAUCGUCAGACCUGAGUAUAGGGGCGAAAGACUAAUCGAACCAUC
rnacentral:rRNA from 1 species